UGGUGGCGACCGGCGCACGGGUGCGUAACGCGUAUGCAACCUACCUUAUACUGAGGGAUAGCCCAGAGAAAUUUGGAUUAAUACCUCAUGGUAUUAUUGAUAGGCAUCUAUUAAUAAUUAAAGGUUACGGCAAAAGAUGAGUAUGCGUCCCAUUAGCUAGUUGGUGAAGUAACGGCUUACCAAGGCUACGAUGUCUAGGGGUUCUGAGAGGAUGAUCCCCCACACUGGUACUGAGACACGGACCAGACUCC
rnacentral:rRNA from 1 species